UAUGCGGACGGUGGAGAAGAAGAGGAGCCAGAAGAGGCAGAGGAUGGGGGCGGCCCACCACCUGGUUGACGGCUCCCGAGUGGAUCUUCUUGUCCAGCUUGGAGGGCAGAUACAGACAACGCAAGCAAGACAAAGUUCACAAAUCUAGAAUGUGACAGACAGUAAAAGACGACCGUGACGGUGAAAAAGACAAACGGACAGAAUCAAUCAUUCAAGCAGAAGCCAUCAAUUGUAAAAAAAGUGUCGGAUAAAUCUCAUCACGUCCACGAGUGUGCCCGGUGGGAACUAAUUCAUGUGAAAACGCAGAACGAUGAACAUACAUCGGUCUGUACAAUUAUAUUUUCCUGCAUACUGGCAUAUUCAAAGGACCGACACACACACACACACACACACACACACACGCACACGCACGACAAAUGACGAGCAUAUUCCUGUGAUGG